UAGACACAUAGACCAAUAGACUGAGGAGAGUUCAUGGUCUCCAGGCUCCAAAGGCGGACGGAUGGAGUGCCAAUCCUUAUCUCCUCGGACGUCCACAGUGCUAUCCUCCGUGAUGCACCGUUAGAAAGCGCAAAACAUUUAAAACUUCUCGUGCACGCAACCACCACCAAAUCACGCGUGGACGCCAUGACUACUGGCUUUGCGAAUGGCGAUAGUUUUCGGAAAACUCGAGGAGAAGUAUCCACGGACCC
rnacentral:lncRNA from 1 species